GAGUUUCAUCCUGGCUCAGGAUGAACGCUAGCUACAGGCUUAACACAUGCAAGUCGAGGGGCAGCAUGACGAUAGCUUGCUAUUGUUGAUGGCGACCGGCGCACGGGUGAGUAACGCGUAUCCAACCUUCCCGUUGCUAGGGGAUAACCUUGCGAAAGUAAGACUAAUACCCUAUGAUGUUCUUCGCAGACAUCUAAAGAGAACCAAAGAUUUAUCGGCAACGGAUGGGGAUGCGUCUGAUUAGGUUGUUGGCGGGGUAACGGCCCACCAAGCCCACGAUCAGUAGGGGUUCUGAGAGGAAGGUCCCCCACAUUGGAACUGAGACACGGUCCAAACUCCUACGGGAGGCAGCAGUGAGGAAUAUUGGUCAAUGGACGGAAGUCUGAACCAGCCAAGUAGCGUGCAGGACGACGGCCCUAUGGGUUGUAAACUGCUUUUAUGUGGGAAUAAAGUGAGGGACGUGUCCCUUUUUGUAGGUACCACAUGAAUAAGGACCGGCUAAUUCCGUGCCAGCAGCCGCGGUAAUACGGAAGGUCCGGGCGUUAUCCGGAUUUAUUGGGUUUAAAGGGAGCGUAGGCCGUCUUUUAAGCGUGUUGUGAAAUACUGUCGCUNCACGACAGAGGUGCAGCGCGAACUGGGAGACUUGAGUGCGCGGAAUGCAGGCGGAAUUCGUCGUGUAGCGGUGAAAUGCUUAGAUAUGACGAAGAACUCCGAUUGCGAAGACAGCUUGCAGUAGGUGACUGACGGUGAAGGUCGAAGUGGCGGUAUUGAACAGGAUUAGAUACGUGGGUAGUCCGCACGGUAAACGAUGGAUGCUCGCUGUGUGCCCCUGGGUACGCGGCCAAGCGAAAGCGUUAAGCAUCCCACCUGGGGAGUACGCCGGCAACGGUGAAACUCAAAGGAAUUGACGGGGGCCCGCACAAGCGGAGGAACAUGUGGUUUAAUUCGAUGAUACGCGAGGAACCUUACCCGGGCUUGAAUUGCAGGAGAACGAUACAGAGAUGUUGAGGUCCUUCGGGACUCCUGUGAAGGUGCUGCAUGGUUGUCGUCAGCUCGUGCCGUGAGGUGUCGGCUUCAGUGCCAUAACGAGCGCAACCCCUCUCCGUAGUUGCCAUCAGGUGAUGCUGGGCACUCUGCGGACACUGCCGCCGUAAGGUGUGAGGAAGGUGGGGAUGACGUCAAAUCAGCACGGCCCUUACGUCCGGGGCUACACACGUGUUACAAUGGGUCAUACAGAGUGUUGUGCGUAUGCAAAUACGUACUAAUCAUUAAAAUGAUCCUCAGUUCGGAUUGGGGUCUGCAACCCGACCCCAUGAAGCUGGAUUCGCUAGUAAUCGCGCAUCAGCCAUGGCGCGGUGAAUACGUUCCCGGGGCUUGACACACCGCCCGUCA
rnacentral:rRNA from 1 species